UAUGUUGUGAUGAGAUAAAAAACCAUAGGAGUGUAAUAGGGCAGUGAAAGUGGGUUUAAAUGCCUUCUUCCUGAGCCUAUUAAUUAACGACUUAUCCUUCCAUUGAGCAUC